UGGGGAAUAUUGCACAAUGGAGGGAACUCUGAUGCAGCGACGCCGCGUGAGUGAUGAAGGAAUUCGUUCCGUAAAACUCUGCUCUAUGGGAAGAAAAGGACUGUACCAUAGGAGAAAGCUCCGGCUAAAUACGUGCCAGCAGCCGCGGUAAUACGUAUGGAGCGAGCGUUGUCCGGAAUUAUUGGGCGUAAAGGGUGCGCAGGCGGCUUUACAAGUUGGAUGUGAAAUAUUGUGGCUCAACCACAAACGUGCAUCCAAAACUGCAAAGCUUGAGUUAAGGAGAGGUAAGUGGAAUUCCUGGUGUAGCGGUGGAAUGCGUAGAUAUCAGGAGGAAUACCGGUGGCGAAGGCGACUUACUGGACUUAAACUGACGCUCAGGCACGAAAGCGUGGGGAGCAAACAGG
rnacentral:rRNA from 1 species